UCCGAAGUAGUCCGGCAGCGGCCGGACAAUGGAAUCAUAAUCCAUGUGUCGGGGGUUCGAAUCCCUCCUUCGGUA
rnacentral:tRNA from 1 species